AUGGCUCAGUGGUUAAGAGCACUGGUUGCAUUUUUAGAGGACCUGGGUUCAAUUCCCAGU
rnacentral:tRNA from 1 species